UUCAAUAAAUUUUAUUUAAAAAAUAGAAUAUUAAAGUUUUUAUUUUAAUAAAUAGAAACUACGUUUUCUAUAUAAUUGGGGAUCCUGUGAACUAAAACUCCUUAAAGCAAUUUUCAAAAUUUGUGUGGGGAAUUCUUUAAAAAACGUCUAUCAUUAAACUACAAAAGAAAAAUCAAAGAAAAUACUAAAUUUUCAUUUGCAUUUAAUACCUUUCUGAAUUCUGCGGUUAUAUAUACAAUUUCAAAUUAUAACAUAGUUUAAUAUAAAUCAAGAGUUGGUGUAACAUCUAUGCAUCGAAAUAACAAAUAUACAACUUCAAUCUAAUUUUAGCAAUCAUCUGGAGAAAAUAUAAACAUAUUAAAUAUAGUGAUUUUAUAAAUGAAAAUAAAUAUUAAAAUUGUGAAAAUUUGGGCGCAAAAUUUAAAGUUAUUUAUACCGGACUCAAUUUUUAAAAGGAAAAGCAUAUAAACGUUGAAGACCAACAAAUUACUCAAUUCAAGGUCCUGUUAAUUUCACUUCACCGAUUUCUGUAGAAGUUUAUUAAUUUUA